GCCUGCACCCCAGUAUAUGGAAGUUCCCAGGCCAGAGACUGAAUCUGAGCCACACCUGCAGCAACGAUGGAUCUGCUAAACUGCUGCACCAGGCAGGGGAUGGAACCCGCACCUCUGAGCCCCUCUGCUCAGCCCUGCAGGCCUCCCCGUAACUGGCACAUGGUAAUCCCAGCUCAGGUCCCCUGUCAUGGAAAGGGAUGGCAGUGCAGUUUUUGUCCCAGACAGCAGCACAGAGGGGCUGGAAGAAUCAACAAAAGAGUCCUGCCCUCUGGAUUCCAGGGGAAUAUUCCAACCAGUCAGAGUCCUCCUGGGGCUGAAGGUUUUCCCAGGGGUGGCUGCAAGGACUAACUCUAGUGCAGGACCCAGGGUCCCGCCUGUCACUUCUUCCCUUCUGCCCUCCAGUCACCCUUCUCCAGCUUUGGGAGCAGGUAGCAAGUCCCCUCCACUCCAGGGCUUUCAGCAGGAUGGCCCUGGGCUGUCAGAUCGGGUUAGGCCAGAGGAGGGUGGGUGGGAAGGAACCCUUCUCAGUGGUCCACCCCUUGGGUGGGCAUCUCAAGAUAAGCCAUCCCUCCAGCUCCUCCAUGAGGAUGAUCUGGCUUCCGCCUCUUCCUCCAGCCACACAUUUGCAUGAAGAGUUGGGAGACUGGAUAUGGGGGAGGGAGACAAAAGAGCCCUGAGACUUGAGACCUGGGGGUUGGUGCCAAUUUAAAUUCUGCCUCAGGCAGAGCAGGCUUGGAACAAGGAAUGUGUAUCUGAACACCUGCUGCAUGCUGGGCAUUGUGCCAGGCCCUUUGCAUAGAUCCUCAUCUAAUCCUCACCGUAAUUUAGGAGGUACACAAUCUAGGCCCAUUUUACAGAUGAAAAAAAGAAGAUUCAGUGAGUUUAACUUAAUUGCCCAGAGUUACACAGCCACCUGAGGGAAGUAGCCCUGGUUUUAUUGGAGGCAUUGUCCUUUCAGACUGAGGGUCCCUCAGCAAAAGCUCCUGGGGACUAUGAAUGCCUAAGGCUGGACCAGGAGGUGCAGCCUGAGGAAAUGUGUGUGGAAGGCUGGCUUGGGGAGUAAGGCAGCUCUGUCACAGACUGGCUGGGGCUCUGGGUGCCCCAGCAGCCAAUGGGGAGCUAUGGAAGAGAUUUGCACAGGUCCCCUCGUUCCCCCACCUGCAGUUAGUAAGGGUCCCCAAGCCUAAGAUUCUGGCGUGGAUGAAGGCUACUUCCCAGCUGAUGCACUUGAAAAAAGUCCCUGCCUCUACCAUGGGCCGCAGAAUGCUGUGUAAUUUCCUCUGUGGGUCAGUCCUCCACCAAGUGCGAUGACAGGGCCAUGAGUCAGGUUCAGCCCAUCACUGCCAAGCCACCACAGCUGCCAGCUGCUCCCUGCCUUCUCCCAUCUCUGCUCCAUCCAGCAUAGGAGAGGAGGGGCUACUCCAGGGACGGUCAGGCAGGCAUCCACUGUGGGCCACACCAGACCCAGAGCACGUCAGGAGUCGGGAGGAGUUCUGGGGUAUGGAUGGUGUGACCGUGUCUGACCCAAGUGGGUCAGCCUCAAGCUUCCACGUCAGGAAUCGAGGUGCCCCAGCAAGCUGUUUGGACUGGGCCUGACCACCCCUACUCAACUCCCAAGUAAGAACAUUCUCCACCUUCCUCUUAAGCUCAGGAGUCCUGCGGAGGAAUUUGCUCCUCGCAGAAAAGGACACUUCCAAGCUCCUUUUUUGGCUCAUAGUAAUGAAUACAACUAGGACCCAUGAGGAUACAGGGUUUGAUCUCUGACCUCACUCAGUGCGUAAGGAUCCGGCAUUGCUAUGAGUUGUGGUGUAGGUCACAGAUGAGGCUCAGAUCCUGUGUUGCUGUGGCUGUGGUGUAGGCUGGUGGUUGCAGCUCCAAUUUGACCCCUAGCCUGGGAACUUCCAUAUGCUUUGGGUAUAGCCCUAAAAAGACAAAUAUAUAAAUAAAAAUAAAAAUUUUUUAAAAAUCAGUGGUUACUUCAGCUGCCUUUAAGGAAUUCACACAUAGCCAAGGCCUUGAAACUCAAGAACUUUUGAGUUUUGGAAAAUAAGAAGGAAAAUUUUUGGACUCUUUGUUCUGAGCU
rnacentral:lncRNA from 1 species